CUGACAGAGAAGCAUUCCCUAUCUGCAACAAAUUAUGGUUCUAUCCCACGAUUCUACGUAAAAACGCUAGAAGAUUUUGCUAUUCCAGUGUCCCUUCAGGAGGCCAUGAUAGAUUCCAAUCCACCUAAACAAAUUUUCCAGAUGAAAGGCUCCGAUCAUUCUCCGUUUCUGUCAAAGCCUCAAGCAUUACACAAGAUUUUAGUGGAAAUUUCAAAGAUUCCUCUAAAAUGAACUCUGGAUGAUAACUUCUCAAGACAAUGUCUUCCAUAUGCACAUAUAUUUCAAAAGAUAAUGAGUAUUCAUGUGGCCAUAUAUCUACCAAAAGGUUUAAUUUUUUUAAAAAGCUAGACAAGAAUAUAACUACUGUAAUUUCUGCUAUGAAAAUAUAUUUGAGAUGAAUAUAAAAUCAAAAUUCAACUGUAACCUGUAAUAUAAAUAAUUUGGUGAGAAUGUGAUGAUGCAAGAACAAAAUCUAGAGAAGAAUCUUUGUCACACCCCUUUUUUUAACUCCAACAACAAAAAGAUUGAUUUUAAGUUUCGAAAGAAUUUUCAUUAUUAAGUGAUAAAAAUAAAAAUUUAUUUCGAAAAGAACUUUUAUAUUCAAAAUUCAGAGUCGCCACUUGGCAUAAAUCGGGUGUGCCAAGUUACAUUUGAAAAUCCUUUUUCAAAAUAGUUUUGACUCUAAAACUGAUCCGCGAACAGAGUUCCGGUUAAGAAAUUCUGUUGACCGAAGGGAAGGUGUUAGGUACCCCUCGAUCCGGUAGUUUGAUCACGGUCGCUUGGUGGAGAGUAUCGGCUAAUUUGACAUUACGAAUGUAUAAACCACACAAAAAAACACAUAAAAUAAUCAAUCAAACACACAAAACAAAAUAAAUCCAAAAUAUAGUGUCCAAUUCAAUUAUACUGUCCAAAAAUAGAAAAAAAUGAAAAAAUAUAAAUCAUAGUCUAAGCUAAUCCUGAAACUAUGCUCCAAUGUCUUAUCUGAUGCCUCAUGCCUUCAUCGCGAACCUCCUUUACAUACAUGAUAUGUCGGGGCAUUCCCCGGAUAAAUCAAUACAAAUCUCUCGGGGCAUUCUCCGGCCAAAUGAGUACAUUUUUAAAGCGAUAAAAAUGGAAAAAAUCUCUCAACACAAAUAUUUACACAUUCGAUAAUUAGAAUCCUACGAGUUGUCUACCCAAAAUCUAGAAUUUGCCUAUCAAUUUAACUACCUAAUCAUGCUACUAUCGUAUUCAACAAUAUUCAUACCUAAACCAAAAUAAACAAAAUAUUAAUCAAUCUAAAUUUACCCUUUUGUCAAUUUCUCAAUUCCACCUUCAAAUCCAAUCUCAACAUGAUUAAACUAAUUCGAUAGGUGGUUUACCAAUCAAAUUUUCACAUUCAAUUCCAACGUCAAACAAUACACAACAAAGAUUCACACACACCAAACCCGUAAAUCAUUCAGGAUUACGUAAAAUUAAAGGGAGAAGACAGAAUUGGACCUCAAAGGUUUCUUUUAUUCAAUCAACUUGAACUGAUUUCAACAGCGAAGAAACCUCGAGAAUCAAUGAACCUCGACUUUGAACUCGCCAAUCGAACAAAACCAACUUCGAUAUAGUUUUCCGAUUGGGGUUUUCACCGGAACAACCGCAUCAUGGAACUAUUUUGGGCGGUUUUGAGACGUUUUCCGGUGAGUUUCAAACGGAGUCAGACGUGAAACGGAUCGGACUUAGUCAAUUUGGUCGGGAUGGAGUUGGGUUUACUUCUUCGUAUCGUCGGAGCUCCGGUGAGCUCCAACAAUGAACGAAACGGAGAAUAAAGGACGGUAGCAACGUUUUCCGGUGAGAAACCGCCGGAAAAAUCCUUCUCUCUUGCGAUUUCUCUCUUUUCCCGUCGGUGUUGUCUUGUCCGAUCUCCGCUCUCCCGUUCCUUCACUGUUUCCAACCUAUCUCCCUCCGUUCACCUUUACCGAUCUCCAAUUCAGCUAUAUUUCUCCCUUUCCGGUGAUGUGUGCGUACACCAGUAUGUGGGUGUGUGCAAAUCAGUGAGGAUGAGCGAUUAUUGUGAGCUCUGUGUAGUGUGUAGAGAAUUCUGUGCGAAUGAGUGGAUAUGUGUGGAGAAUUGAAGAAUGGAAGGUUCUUGUGUGUGUGCCCGUGAAGAAGAAAAGGUGAAUGAGUGUGUGCUUUCCUUUUUCUCACUGCAACUUCAUUGUUUUUCUUUUGAAGGGAAGCAAAAUUCGUGCUGGGUCCCCAUUCCAAUGGGUAUGUAUGUUUCACUUUUUCCUUUGUGUAGAAGAAAUGUGAGGGGAUCCGCGUGGGGAGGGGUAUUGGGUGGGGUAGGUUGGUAGGAUAAAAUAUAAAGUUGGUUAGGAUAAAAUUAAAAUAAGAUAAAAUUUAUUAAAAAUUUUGUUAAGGAUUAUUUAUUUUUGUAUUUUUAUGGGGUAUAAUCAAAUGAAU
rnacentral:lncRNA from 1 species